UGAGGAAUCUUCCACAAUGGGCGAAAGCCUGAUGGAGCGACACCGCGUGAAGGAUGAAGCCUUUGUUGGUGUAAACUUCUUUUCUCUCCGAAGAUAAUGACGGUAGGAGAGGAAUAAGGGGCGGCAAACUUCGUGCCAGCAGCCGCGGUAAUACGAAGGCCCCAAGCGUUAUCCGGAAUUACUGGGUGUAAAGCGUCUGUAGGUGGUUUGGAAAGUUUCGUGUGAAACUUCAGGGCUCAACCCUGAAUCG
rnacentral:rRNA from 1 species